rnacentral:rRNA from 1 species
UACGUAGGGUGCAAGCGUUGUCCGGAAUUAUUGGGCGUAAAGAGCUCGUAGGCGGUCUGUCGCGUCGGCUGUGAAAACCCGGGGCUCAACCCCGGGCCUGCAGUCGAUACGGGCAGACUAGAGUGCGGUAGGGGAGACUGGAAUUCCUGGUGUAGCGGUGAAAUGCGCAGAUAAUCAGGAGGAACACCGGUGGCGAAGGCGGGUCUCUGGGCCGUAACUGACGCUGAGGAGCGAAAGCGUGGGGAGCGAACAGG